rnacentral:lncRNA from 1 species
GAAAUACUGAAUGUUUGGUUGAAACUACUGUUCUGAAAAAUCAAUAAGUUCAAGUCCAAUUUUUGGUUUCAAUAUGGAAAAGAACGGAUAUGGGUUAAUGGCACGAAGACAUCACAUAUUAGUCAUUACUAGUAAAUGCCACACAAAAAAUUAAAUCUAGAGCUGACGACACGAACUUCCCACUUACAGACAUCCAUCUCUGGAUGGCCUCAAACAAAACAAGAACAACCGAACCCAAGGACACAUCAAUGACUUAAAUGGAUCUUUUAAAUAUAAAAACGACUUUCGACCUCUAUGUUGGAAAAAACGACCUGCGACCUGUACAUUUCCCUUAAAAACGACCUCGUGACCUUGCGACGAAUUUAAAAGCG